rnacentral:rRNA from 1 species
GAUUUCUGGUUUAAUGCACCUGGCCCGCGGCCACUAGGCUGUGAGUGCCGGCGCGCGUUUACCAUCCUUCUAGAAAACGAUUCUGCCAUUCACUUGGUUGGGAUCGCGAUCUAGAUCUUUUACUUUGAAAAAAUUAGAGUGUUUCAAGCAGGCGACUCGCUGUGAAUACAUUAGCAUGGAAUAAUAACUUAGGACUUCGGUUCUAUUUUGUUGGUUUCUAGGACUGAAGUAAUGAUUGAUAGGGAUAGUUGGGGGUGCUAGUAUUGGCCGGCCAGAGGUGAAAUUCUUGGAUUCGGUCAAGACUAACUUAUGCGAAAGCAUU